GCACUGCUGAGGAGUCCCAUAAUAGGAUGAAACGGCGUCCAGUGU
rnacentral:hammerhead_ribozyme from 1 species